AUGAGAUGCCUGGUUUUGAAGUUUCAUAGACGUUCUACUGAACUUGGACAGUCCAACUAUGAGGGUGUAUGCCCAAUUAUCAGAAUGAACUGCAAUUUGUGAGUUCUCAUAUGGAUAACUAUAUGAGGGUCAGUAAACUCUUAAACUAAAUUAUGGUCGCUGCAUAGAAAAAUCGAAGUUUUUCAUACUUGCCAGCAACGAUUUAGUAAAUUCUUCAAGAUUCAAAAUUGUUUGUCCUCACUUUUCAAAGAAUACUAACUCGUAAGGAUCUAAACAAAGAAAUUAUGAAAAAUUUGACAGUAGCC
rnacentral:lncRNA from 1 species